CCCCUUACCUGGCGGGGGACAGGCCGUGGUCAGGAAGGGGGUUCUCCCUGGACAAGGCUAGUCCACUGCACUUCGGCGGCGCUGACCCCUGCGAUUUCCCCACACGCGGGGCCCUGAUCUGCGGUGGUGUUAGUGCUGCCCGGCAGCU
rnacentral:snRNA from 8 species